rnacentral:rRNA from 1 species
CCACUCAUGCAAAGGGUGCGUAAUAUCGAACUGGUCGAGUGAUCCAUGCACGAGGAUUUCCGGUGCUAAAACUUACUAACGAAGCUACGGAAACAGUAGUGAUGGGUAGGGGAGCUUCCCAUAUGGGUUGAAGCAUGACCGUAAGGACAUGUGGACAGUAUGGGAGUGAUAAUGUUGGCAAGAGUAGCGAGAUGGGGGUCAGAAUCCCCCAGUCCGUAAACCGAAUGUUACGAGUGGAAGGGUCGGCCGCCAUGGGUUAGUCGGGACCUAAGCCUAGGCAGAAAGGCGUAGGUGAUGGACAACAGGUUGAUAUUCCUGUACUACCGCUAACCGUUUGAGAGAAGGGAUGACACAGUAGGAUAAGCUAAGCACACUGUUGGUUAUGUGUGCCAAAGCAUUGAGGCAGUCAAAGUAGGCAAAUCCGCUUUGAUAAUGCGGGGAUUCGAGUGAGACAGACA